rnacentral:piRNA from 1 species
UAGGUUACUUGCAACCCGGACUUCCCAAG